GUGCCAGCCGCCGCGGUAAGACGUAGGGGGCAAGCGUUGUCCGGAAUGACUGGGCGUAAAGGGCGUGUAGGCGGUGCGUCACGUAGCGGUUUUCAGCCGUCGGCUCACCCGACGGAGGGCGGCUAAACGGGCGCGCUGGAGGGCAGGAGAGGUGCACGGAAUUCCUGGUGGAGCGGUGAAAUGCGUAGAGAUCAGGAAGAACACCCGUGGCGAAGGCGGUGCACUGGCCUGACCCUGACGCUGAGGCGCGACAGCGUGGGGAGCGAACGGGAUUAGAUACCCCGGUAGUCCACGCCGUAAACGAUGGAUACUAGGUGUCGCGGGGGUCCACCCGGCGGUGCCGGAGCUAACGCACUAAGUAUCCCGCCUGGGGAGUACGGCCGCAAGGUUGAAACUCAAAGGAAUUGACGGGGGCCCGCACAAGCAGUGGAGCAUGUGGUUUAAUUCGACGCAACGCGCAGAACCUUACCAGGACUAGACGGGAUCGUGAGCGCCGCGAAAGCGGCGGGCCCUUCGGGGAGCGGUCGUCAGGUGCUGCAUGGUUGUCGUCAGCUCGUGUCGUGAGAUGUUGGGUUAAGUCCCGCAACGAGCGCAACCCUCGUCGCGUGUUGCCAGCGGUUCGGCCGGGCACUCACGCGAGACUGCCGGUGACAAACCGGAGGAAGGUGGGGAUGACGUCAAAUCCGCAUGGCCUUGAUGUCCUGGGCCACACACGUGCUACAAUGGCGCCGACAACGGGCCGCGACUCCGCGAGGAGCAGCGAAUCCUUCAAACGGCGUCUCAGUUCGGAUUGCAGGCUGCAACCCGCCUGCAUGAAGCCGGAAUUGCUAGUAAUCGCCGAUCAGCAUGCGGCGGUGAAUUCGUUCCCGGGCCUUGUACACACCGCCCGUCACACCACGAGAGUUGGCCACACCCGAAGCCGGUCGGUCGAACCCGCAAGGGACGAUCCCGUCGACGGUGGGGCGGAUGAUUGGGGUGAAGUCGUAACAAGGUAACC
rnacentral:rRNA from 1 species